rnacentral:rRNA from 1 species
UCUGGUAAUGAUGGCAGAGAGGUCACACCCGUUCCCAUACCGAACACGGAAGUUAAGCUCUCNCCGAUGGUAGUUGGGACCUUGUCCCUGUGAGAGUAGGACGUUGCCAGGC